UUAAGUUGUCAUUUGCUAUUCUUGUUCACUAGUUAAAUCGUUUUUAUUCUUUUUUAAGUUAGCAUUUGCUAUUCUUGAUCACUAAUUAAAAAAAAAGAAUAAAAACGAUUUUAUUAGUGAACAAAAAUAACAAAUGACUUAAAAGGAAUACAAAUAAGAAAUUCGAUUUUUUUUAAGAAUAAAAACUAUUAGCAAAUGUCCUAUUCCUUUUAAGUUAUUUGCUAUUUUUGUUCGCUAGUUAAAUCGUCUUUAUUCCUUUUUUUAAGUUAUCAUUUUCUAUUUUUGUUCACUAGUAAAUUGGUUUUAUUCCUUUUUUUAAACUGAUCAACUGUUGUCCUAUUUUUAUUUCUUUUUUUAAGUAAUCAUUUGCUAUUUUUGUUCACUAAUUUUUUAUUCCUUUUUUUUAGUUAUUGGCUAUUGUUCAAUAAUUAAAUCGUUUUUAUUCAUCUAAGUUUAACAUUUGCUAUUCGUGUUCACUAGUUUCAAAAAACUAUUUAAAUAGUAAACAAAAAUAGCAAAUAACUUAAAAGGAAUAAAAAUACGACAUUAAGUUAUUUGCUAUUUUUGUUCACUAGCUAAAUCUUUGUUGGUGCCGUGACAUUAUUGAAGCACAAUGCAUGACAAGACAACUCGCAUGGAAUUGAAAAACAUUCAUUGCUAAUCCUUAUACAAUGUGAGAAACAGUGCCACCCAGUGGACAAAUACAAAAUUACCGCCGGCCCAACUUGAAAUAAAAGGUUUCAUAAAUGUAAUUUAAAAAAUGGCGUCAAAAUGUUUUGGAAUUUUGGAAAAUUAAAUACAAUCUGAGAGGUAUACCUAAACAAUUUGCUUCACCUGUGGCUACUUAAUUAGUUACAUCAGUACAUUUAAAAGACAGGAUAAACGUGACAUUCACUGUUGACUUUUUUUUAUUUGUUGACACUAAAACACUUCAAAACAUCUUUGCAUGUUUUUUUUUUAUUUUUAUUUUUUUAAUUUUUUUCCCCUUUUAGUUGGUUAUUGUGGUGAAAAGGAAGGCAGCACUAAAAUGUAGGAGGGGGUGCUAUUUUAAUUUAUUUGGGGGGGUAAACAAUAAGUGUUUAUUACCUGUAUUAUCCUUUAAAAUAAAAACAAUAAAGGUCACGAGGCAAAGCGGUAGCUUUUUCUAUUACCGUAAUGACCUGCUGAGGUUGAUGUGUUGAGUGAUCUUCAGAAUUCCCAUUAUUUUUAACGUAGCACGCCUGCAAGGAAAUUGGCAAAGUGAGGAUAGACGUGCGUGUAGAAGGGGGGGCGGCAACCCGCGGCUCUUUAGCGCCGCCCUAGUGGCUCUCUGAAGCUUUUUCAAAAAUGUAUGAAAAAUGGAAAAAGGGGGAAAAAAAAUACAAAAAAUAUAUUUUUUGUUUUAAUAUGGUUUCUGUAGGAGGACAAACAUGAAACAAGCCUCCCUAAUUGUUAUAAAGCACACUGUUUAUAUUAAACAUGCUUCACUGAUUCGAGUAUUUGGCGAGCGCCGUUUUGUCCUACUAUUUUUGGCGGUCCUUGAACUCACCCUAGUUAGUUUACAUGUAUAACUUUCGAGGACGUGUUUUUGGCCACUUCUUUUUCUGUCUCAUUUUGCCCACCAAACUUUUAAAGUGCGCGAAUGCCCAAAGUUUAGGUUGCCGACCCCUGGUGUAAAAGGAACAAGAGAGGCUACCAGCUGUCUGUCAUGGAGUCCACACAACAUGCACUCAUGCAAAGAAUCACAGCUCAAACUUGCAUGCAGGUGUGUGUUUCGGUGAGAAAAUUGUGGUAAUACGUCGGCUCUUACCGGAGACAUGAGCGGAGCUUGCGUCCUCCUGCGGCUGUCAAAGAGGCAGCUGCGACUUUCUUGGCUCCUCCAUGGCGUCCAUCAGAGACACUGGCUGUCACCACACCCCUCCGACUUUCAGGAAUCUUUCAUCCUCGCUCAAAUUAAUGGGGAAAUCGUCGCUUUCUCGGUCCGAAUCACUCCUGCUGCUGGUGGCUAUGAUUGUAAACAAUGUGAGGAGCCCUACAACCCGUGACGUCACGUGCACAUCGUCUGCUACUUCCGGUACAGUCAAAGCUUUUUUAUUAGCGACCAAAAAAUGCGAA